UACGAAGGGGGCUAGCGUUGUUCGGAAUCACUGGGCGUAAAGCGCGCGUAGGCGGCUUUGUAAGUUAGAGGUGAAAGCCCGGAGCUUAACUCCGGAACUGCCUUUAAGACUGCAUCGCUAGAAUCGUGGAGAGGUGAGUGGAAUUCCGAGUGUAGAGGUGAAAUUCGUAGAUAUUCGGAAGAACACCAGUGGCGAAGGCGACUCACUGGACACGUAUUGACGCUGAGGUGCGAAAGCGUGGGGAGCAAACAGG
rnacentral:rRNA from 1 species